GUAGUCGUGGUCGAGUGGUUAAGGCGACAGACUUGAAAUCUGUUGGGAUAUUCCCGCGCAGGUUCAAAUCCUGCCGACUACG
rnacentral:tRNA from 1 species